GGGCCUCUAGCUCAACUGGUUAGAGCUGCGGACUUUUAAUCCGUAGGUUGUGGGUUCGAGUCCCACGGGGCCUACGA
rnacentral:tRNA from 1 species